AGAGUUUGAUUCUGGCUCAGGAUUAACGCUGGCGGCGUGCCUAACACAUGCAAGUCGAACGAAAUAUCUUCGGAUAUUUAGUGGCGAACGGGUGAGUAAUGUACAGGUAAUGUACCUUCGUACUGCGAAUAACAAGCUGAAAAGUUUGCUAAUACGGAAUAGUUUCCUUCGAGGGCAUCCUUAAAGGAAUAAAGAUUUAUCGUGCGGAGAUCAGCCUGUAUCCUAUUAGUUAGUUGGUGGGGUAAUGGCCUACCAAGACGACGAUGGGUAACUGGUCUGAGAGGAUGAGCAGUCACAUUGGAACUGAGAAACGGUCCAAACUCCUACGGGAGGCAGCAGUGAGGAAUUUUGCGCAAUGGGGGAAACCCUGACGCAAGCAACGCCGCGUGAGUGAUGACGGCCUUCGGGUUGUAAAGCUCUGUCGUGUGUGACGAGUAGGGACGGUAACACACAAGGAAGCCUCGGCUAACUACGUGCCAGCCGCCGC
rnacentral:rRNA from 1 species